UGAGGAAUAUUGGUCAAUGGGCGUAAGCCUGAACCAGCCAAGUCGCGUGAGGGAAGACGGCCCUAUGGGCUGUAAACCUCUUUUGUCGGGGAGCAAAGCCGCCCACGUGUGGGCGGAAGGAGAGUACCCGAAGAAAAAGCAUCGGCUAACUCCGUGCCAGCAGCCGCGGUAAUACGGAGGAUGCGAGCGUUAUCCGGAUUUAUUGGGUUUAAAGGGUGCGUAGGCGGCAUGGUAAGUCAGCGGUCAAAUCGAGGGGCUCAACCCCUUUCCGCCGUUGAAACUGCCGUGCUUGAGUGGGCGAGAAGUAUGCGGAAUGCGUGGUGUAGCGGUGAAAUGCAUAGAUAUCACGCAGAACUCCGAUUGCGAAGGCAGCAUACCGGCGCCCGACUGACGCUGAGGCACGAAAGCGUGGGGAUCGAACAGGAUUAGAUACC
rnacentral:rRNA from 1 species